AACGAACGCUGGCGGCAUGCCUAACACAUGCAAGUCGAACGAGACCUUCGGGUCUAGUGGCGCACGGGUGCGUAACGCGUGGGAAUCUGCCCUUGGGUUCGGAAUAACAGUUAGAAAUGACUGCUAAUACCGGAUGAUGACGUAAGUCCAAAGAUUUAUCGCCCAAGGAUGAGCCCGCGUAGGAUUAGCUAGUUGGUAAGGUAAAGGCUUACCAAGGCGACGAUCCUUAGCUGGUCUGAGAGGAUGAUCAGCCACACUGGGACUGAGACACGGCCCAGACUCCUACGGGAGGCAGCAGUGGGGAAUAUUGGACAAUGGGCGAAAGCCUGAUCCAGCAAUGCCGCGUGAGUGAUGAAGGCCUUAGGGUUGUAAAGCUCUUUUACCAGGGAUGAUAAUGACAGUACCUGGAGAAUAAGCUCCGGCUAACUCCGUGCCAGCCGCCGCAGUAACAC
rnacentral:rRNA from 1 species